AUCUCAGGGCUCGGCCUAUUCCAUCCACUCGAGAGCCCUGCGGUCUGCGCGGGGAUGGAGCCUAGUUCCGGGCCCCGGUCAAAUCUUGUCAGCUCCGGCUCGGCCUCGGUCUUGGUCUUGGCUGCGAGCGUACCCCCUCCCUUCCCAGGCGCCGACAAACAGCACUGCUGCGCCUGCGCGCCUCGGGCAGCUGCGGGAUACCCUUCCGGUUCCACGGCAUGCUGGGACACCGAGUCCUGGGCGGAAGCCGGGCACGAGCGGAAGUCAGGGUUCUGCGUAAAACUACAAGUUCCAGGAAGCUGUGCGCUCCGGCCGUUCCGGUUGGGAAGAGAAGGGUGUGCUGGGGAGUUGUAGUUCUCCAGACCGUUUCGUCUGGUUGCCCGGAGGCGGGGAGGAGUGAACCGGCUUCGUUAACCUCGGGAAAGCUGCGGGUCCCCGCGCGGCUGCGCAACUGCAGACACGCGCUUGCUGAAUUUCCUGGUACAUCUGAGUACAUCUGAGUGUGUUUUGUGGACAGGCGUGUAGGUAAGAAUGUAGGCGGUCUUGGUGUGCCUACCAGGGUGCGAGAACUCCCGAAAUUUCCGCAGUCUCGUGUGCGCCUGACCCAGGUUGUAUGAGUGUAUGGGACCUGACACAUGUUGGAAUUCUUGCUCUGCCAUUUGGCGGCUCUGUGACACUGGCCAAAUUCCUCAAUUUCUUGGACCGUAAAAUGGAGAUGAGCGAGCGUUCAAGGGGAUUGUGGUGUAAAAUGCCAGUCCAGCCUGGGUGCUCAGUGAGUGUGUUGGCCAGGCUAACCUUGUUACAAGUGUGGUGGAGCUGCGCCUCCGACGCAGGCCUCCUGCCCCCAAAGAGGCAAGGCUGCGUGGGCUGCUUUUAGUGACUCUCUUCCCCACUACAGAUUUCUCAUCUCUGGCCCUGAGGAAGAGGGGUCACUACAGACUUGGGCCAGGGUGUCCCUGGGCCUCCACUUUACUGCAUCGGUGGCUUCCUGCAGGACAGCUUUUCUCAGAGGCUUUUGAGAUUAUAUGAGACAAAGGAUGUCAAGGAUCCGGCAUUUUGGAAACCUAAGAAGCAUUAUGACCUAUACCCUCUUGGGUACCUGGGUUGCAACGGCCUUCACUCCCAGCGGAGUGGUAGAUGGGACUUUGAGCUCAUGGCCACCUACCUGUCUUCAAGCUACCCAAUCCCCACCCUCAGGCAGACACAGUGGAUGGGAACCAUUUGAAGUGAAAAUAUGAACAUUAUUUAAUAACUGAUCUUCUGUAAUAAACCAUUUGAAAAUAUUUUACAAGGAAUCACACACACAAUAUUUUACAAAGUUUCUUGACUUUUUUGUCACUGUUGUUUUUCUGACUUGUCUGUACAAAAUAGAACAACAACCAAAAAAAAGGGCAGAGAAAAGGAAAUGGCCCCCCAGUCCCCCACAGAUCCCCCGAGCCCGAGGUGAGGGGGCAGCCAGGUCGGGUGGGUGAUGAGAAGGAUCAGACCCAGCUGGGGGUUGGACAACUAUCUGAUGGGGAUUGUUUGUCUGUUUUCCUGUUUUUUAAACUUAAAAUAGAUAUUUUUCUAUAUA